rnacentral:rRNA from 1 species
AAUCCAUAGGUUAAUGAGGCGAACCGGGGGAACUGAAACAUCUAAGUACCCCGAGGAAAAGAAAUCAACCGAGAUUCCCCCAGUAGCGGCGAGCGAACGGGGAGGAGCCCAGAGCCUGAAUCAGCAUGUGUGUUAGUGGAAGCGUCUGGAAAGGCGCGCGAUACAGGGUGACAGCCCCGUACACAAAAGCGCAUGUGCUGUGAGCUCGAUGAGUAGGGCGGGACACGUGGUAUCCUGUCUGAAUAUGGGGGGACCAUCCUCCAAGGCUAAAUACUCCUGACUGACCGAUAGUGAACCAGUACCGUGAGGGAAAGGCGAAAAGAACCCCGGCGAGGGGAGUGAAAAAGAACCUGAAACCGUGUACGUACAAGCAGUGGGAGCCCCACCACCAAAGCAUUUGCUGUACCGCGUUGACGGAGCGAAGCGACGUCAAACCGAUAAAACAGCAGUGUAAAGUGAGCCGCAGGGCGCUUUGCGCGACAGCGCAAAGGCAGGCGGUUUCGCGUAGCGAAAGCGAAUGCUUUGGGG